UGUUUUUGGGUUCCAACUUAUUUUACUUUCUUAAGCUUUAUUACAAUCAUGCCAUUAUCUCUAUGAAUUACCCUUGAAUAAUUCAAAAAUUCCGUCUAUAUCCUUGGUUCUUAUCUGUUUUUUUUUCCUUUCUCCUCCAUACUUUGUUACUGUGUGCUUUGCCUCUGUUUUAUUGUAAGAUUUAAUUCCUCCCAUAUUUUCAAUCUUUGGCUUGAUCUUCUUUGUUUUCCCUGGUUUAUCACCGACUCUCUCAUCGCCUCUAUUUUUUCUCGCUACUUCUUCUUUUUAUCACUGUUUCCUGCACCUGAUAUUCACGUCUUAACCCUAUUUUGCUCGAUUUCGUGAAUAUGACGAUGUUUAGAGUGACUUGCCAGCUGAUCAUAAAUGUCAAUCGACCCCCUUGAGGACUAUCAGUUUUUAAUUUGUGGGCAGAAGGAACUGAAGCUUUGUGAAAUAAAAUGCAGGAGUAUAAGAAAUAGACACUUUAGCGAUGUGAAUUUGAUAUUACUUUCCUUUCCUGCUAUUCCCAUUAUGAUUUUCAUUCUGGCUGGUCCGUGCUAUUCCACUUGAUGUAUUUGUGUUGCGA